rnacentral:rRNA from 1 species
UACGGGGGGGGCAAGCGUUGUUCGGAAUUACUGGGCGUAAAGGGUUUGUAGGUGGCCAACUAAGUCAGACGUGAAAUCCCUCAGCUUAACUGGGGAACUGCGUCUGAGACUGGAUGGCUGGAGUAUGGGAGAGGAAUGCGGAAUUCCAGGUGUAGCGGUGAAAUGCGUAGAUAUCUGGAGGAACACCGGGUGGCGAAGGCGGCAUUCUGGACCAUUACUGACGCUGAGGAGCGAAAGCCAGGGGAGCAAACGGG